rnacentral:pre_miRNA from 1 species
GAAAAGGUGUUUCCUCUGCAGCUCAUGCACAGAGGACCCCCUGGUGUGUGUCCGCUGGGGUGGGGGCAUGCUCCGAG